rnacentral:lncRNA from 1 species
CGUAAAACGCUGGAGGAGAAGUCAGUAGCAAGCAGCUAAGACAACAUGGUACAUGUGGCUAGAAGCCCACCAACUGCUAACAACCAGCUGGAGGGUAAGUCAAAAGCUAUGAGAGCCCAGAAGGAGAACAAUUAUUUAGACCUGGAGGGGCCAGUUGGGAAAGUCUUUGAAGGGUCUUCAGAAAAUGGACCAAAAGAAAAGAGGAAAAGUCAUUCUACUGAGAGGUGUUUGUGUAAUCAAAGCAACCGAGGCCUAAGAACUCACAAAAGAUUAGAAAAGGGUAAAGGAUGCCUGGAAAGCCGGACUAGGAAAAGGCUGUGAAGGGCCUUGCCUGCAGCAUGCAGAAUCAAAACAGUUUGACAUCGACAGUACAGGAAACCAUUUGGGUUUCUUGUACACCAAAAUAUUAAAACAUACACGCAAACACACCAACACAUUAAAAUCUUGAGAGAGAGGGCCAAAAGUUCUUUGUCGCUGGACUAAAAGUGGAAAUAAAUGUUUACAACCUCUAAGGUGGAUUAAGCUAAGAAUUUGGAGUUGUUGGCAAAACUGCCACAUAAAAUUUCAGACAUGCAAAGAAAUGCAAUCGUAGACUUAUGCACAUACUUCCACCAGAGAAGGGAAUCUGGGCAGAGUGUUCAAAGCUUAAGAAAUUCCUUUGCUCUUCACCAAGAAGAGCCAACAGAGUUUUCGUUGAAUCAACUCUUAUAUUCCCUUAAAAAGAAGUUGAUAGUGUUGUGGAAAACUCACCCAUUGAAGUGACAACAAAAACAGCAACCCAGUAUGAGUUAACUGGUAUUAUGUUAAAGGGACAAGUAACUGCACUUUUGACACACAUCCUCUAAAAGGUAGGGUGGGAGUGUUUCAAAGAACCAAGUCUGAGUAACGAUUUGUUACUAGGCUAAAAAUAAAAUCUGCAGCCCAGAAGUAGAACAUAUUACAUAUAGCACUAUAGUUUCAUAAAGGAGAUGGCAUUGGUCAAUCAGAAACCUGAAGGUUUAGUCAGUAAGUGCUCUAUGAGGGAUCAGUUAGCAAUUUACAAAGAAAAAUUAAUUUAGAGCCUCAUCUCAUUUCAUAGGCCAAAAUAUAUUUUAGAUAAAGAAGUAAACAUUAAAAAUUAAACAACAGAAACCAGUAAAAAAAGUGAAAUAAAUAUUUAUCAAAUGUCUAGAUUCAAAAGCACUUAGCUUAGAAAUGAUAAAAGGCUUAAGAGAUAAAAAUAAGAUUGAGCCAUAUACAAAUUUAAAACUUUAAUAUCUAAACUCUAAAAAUCAUAAGACAAGUAUCAAAUUGUGAAAAUGGCUACAGAAAAUACUAAAAGCAUUAAUAACUUUAUUGUAUUAUGAGCUUGUAUUAAUGGACAAAAAAAUAAGAAAAAAGGCGGAAAUACAAAUAAAUACAAAAUUAACUACAAAGGGAAAUUAAAAAUAAUUAUGGUUUUUGAUUAUAUAACUAAUCAACAAACAUACAAAACCUAUAUUCAUUCUCAGUUGUAAUGGAAAUCCAAAAUAAAACAACAUUAAGACACAUUUUUUUUACUGGUAUAAAUAGUAUUUUUCUAAUUGAUAAUAUUCAAUGUAAAUGCCACCACCUGCCCCGCCACUUCCCAACAGCCAAUGGCUGACUCAUGAACACGGAAGUCCAGUCUGCUUCAAAUCAUGAUAAGUCUGCUGUACUACUUAUGCUCCAGAGUCCCCUAUUGAUCAGGCCAAGGCUAGACUUCAUUAGAGGAUAUCCUCGUUUGGUAAUUUGCACUUUCCUAUGUCACUUCCCUUUUUCUGAUAUAGGUUUGGCCUGAAGAACACUUCCUCAAUAAGUCCCUUGUCCUCAGUU